UGCCAGACUCCUACGGGAGGCAGCAGUGGGGAAUAUUGCACAAUGGGGGAAACCCUGAUGCAGCGACGCCGCGUGAGCGAUGAAGUAUUUCGGUAUGUAAAGCUCUAUCAGCAGGGAAGAAAAUGACGGUACCUGACUAAGAAGCCCCGGCUAACUACGUGCCAGCAGCCGCGGUAAUACGUAGGGGGCAAGCGUUAUCCGGAUUUACUGGGUGUAAAGGGAGCGUAGACGGCUGUGCAAGCCAGAUGUGAAAGCCCGGGGCUCAACCCCGGGACUGCAUUUGGAACUGUGUGGCUGGAGUGUCGGAGAGGCAGGCGGAAUUCCUAGUGUAGCGGUGAAAUGCGUAGAUAUUAGGAGGAACACCAGUGGCGAAGGCGGCCUGCUGGACGAUGACUGACGUUGAGGCUCGAAAGCGUGGGGAGCAAACAGGAUUAGAUACCCCGGUAAC
rnacentral:rRNA from 1 species